rnacentral:rRNA from 1 species
AGUGAACGCUGGCGGUAGGCCUAACACAUGCAAGUCGAACGGCAGCACAGUAAGAGCUUGCUCUUACGGGUGGCGAGUGGCGGACGGGUGAGGAAUACAUCGGAAUCUACUUUUUCGUGGGGGAUAACGUAGGGAAACUUACGCUAAUACCGCAUACGACCUACGGGUGAAAGCAGGGGAUCUUCGGACCUUGCGCGAUUGAAUGAGCCGAUGUCGGAUUAGCUAGUUGGCGGGGUAAAGGCCCACCAAGGCGACGAUCCGUAGCUGGUCUGAGAGGAUGAGCAGCCACACUGGAACUGAGACACGGUCCAGACGCCUACGGGAGGCAGCAGUGGGGAAUAUUGGACAAUGGGCGCAAGCCUGAUCCAGCCAUACCGCGUGGGUGAAGAAGGCCUUCGGGUUGUAAAGCCCUUUUGUUGGGAAGGAAAAGCAGCAGGUUAAUACCCCGCUGUUCUGACGGUAGCCAAAGAAUAAGCACCGGCUAACUUCGUG